CCUGCUGACAGGUGCAGAAGUCUCAUUGAGAGUUACAAAAAUUGCUUGAUUGCAGUGAUUGCCUCAGAAGGUUGUGCAACAAAAUAUUAAGUUAAGGGUACCAUCAUUUUUGUCCAGGCCCGCCUCAUGUGU